rnacentral:rRNA from 1 species
AGAGUUUGAUCAUGGCUCAGGAUGAAUGCUGGCGGCGUGGAUAAGGCAUGCAAGUCGAACGGUCCGCAAGGACAGUGGCAGACGAGGUAGUAACACGUACGAACGCACCCCAAAGUCUGGCAUAGCUCGUCGAAAGACGGGGUAAUUCCGGAUGGUCCCGCGAGGGUAAAGAUUUAUCGCUUUGGGAGCGGCGUGCGCAAUAUCAGCUAGUUGGUAGGGUAAUGGCCUACCAAGGCUACGACGUUUAGGGGAGCUGAGAGGCUGACCCCCACCGAGGGAACUGAGACACGGUCCCUACUCCUACGGGAGGCCGCAGUCGAGAAUCUUCCGCAAUGGACGAAAGUCUGACGGAGCGACGCCGCGUGCUGGACGAAGUGCUUCGGCACGUAAACAGCUUUUAUGUGGGACGAAAUUAUUGACGGUACCACAUGAAUAAGGGGCUCCUAACUCUGUGCCAGCAGGAGCGGUAAUACAGAGGCCCCAAGCAUUAUCCGGAAUCACUGGGCGUAAAGGGUGUCGAGGCGGUCAUGUUAGUCUUCCGUAAAAUCCAGGAGCUCAACUUCUGGCCCGCGGGAGAAACGGCAUGACUUGAGGGUGGGAGAGGUGCGUGGAACUCACGGUGUAGGGGUGAAAUCCGUUGAUAUCGUGGGGAACACCAAAGGCGAAGGCAGCGCACUGGCCCAUUCCUGACGCUCACACACGAAAGCCAGGGUAGCGAACGGGAUUAGAUACCCUAGUAGUCC